UGACCUCGGAUCAGGUAGGGAUACCCGCUGAACUUAAGCAUAUCAAUAAGCGGAGA
rnacentral:rRNA from 1 species